rnacentral:piRNA from 1 species
UAAAGUAGAAAUCUAUUUCGAGUUUUGGAGC